CGUCAUCUUCAGUCUCAAAUCAGUUCUUUUUGUCGUCUUUAUCUUCAAUGUAGAUAAGGUUGCAAUCGGUUCAGUUUCCUCUGGCAAAACAGAAAAUUACCCUUUCGGUUUCCAUGGAGCAUUGAAUCUACAAACUCUACAUCUCCCCCCAUCUUAACCGAGUCAACCAUUGAUGCAUCUUCCUUCUUAUAUAUAUAUCAUGGUAAAAACGGAAUCCCUUCAUCUCAAAUACAGUCUUCGCCGUUAUAGAUUAUACCAACUUUUCCAAAGUAUCUGUCUGUGGUGCUCGAGUUCCGCCGUCGUCCUCUACUCAACGUUGGAUUCACUCUGUCUUGGUCGCACUUCUCAGUCUGUUUUCGGUUGGCUUUUCCGCUUUUGGGAUUCCCGUAACACCAAAACUGUGAAUUUAGGGGAAUCACUCAUCUCUUUCUAGAUGAAAAGUUUCAUCCGAGGAAGAUAUUCUUUUUAAGAAGGAAAUAUCAGUGUUCUCUGUAGAGAUUGGACAUAGGAGUUUUCUAAUGAAGAAUCCACAUUCGUUUGCUCAGAAAGAGGUGACUAAAACCAACUAACUCUCUUCUGAGAACAAAUCAUUCAUCAGUGAAUCAGUGAUACAUACUCACACUCCUUGAAGCGUGUUGAUAUUGGCGAAAUAAGAGAAAUUCAGUGUAUGUUUGAAAAGAAAUAAAGCAAGAGCAGCUCAAGAGGAACAAGACUAAAACUGGAAGCGUGCUUGUCCUUCGGAGCCAUAAUUCACCACUUUGUAGUAUAGAUUUCAAGCUUUAACGAGUUCAUAGAUCAAUUCACCAAGGAAGAAACUGAUAAAACCACUUCCUCAUAUUGACUAUGUUACCCUCCCUGAUAGCUGGUACACCGAUCAUUGAGCCUCUCAAGGAUAUUAGAAUCCAAUUACAAUUCCAGAAACAAAAACUCUCCCUUUGAAGUCAAAGCAUCCAAUCAAGUAUCCCACAACAGUAUGUAGCAACCUGCCGGUUCCAAUGAAGUUAGAGAAAAGUUAUUAAGAGCAACGUGCUCAUCUGGAUUGUUAAGAGCAAUGAAAUCACUAAUUGUUCUCUCUAUUUUUUUUUUAAAUUCCAUUUGUUUAGAUGGAAUUAUUCUUUAUUAUGUUUGACAUACAAAUUUCCUUUUCUAAUAAUCCAGAAAAACUUUUGAUAUAUAUAAUUAAAGAAAAAGUUAAAUCCAUAUUU